GUUUAAAAAUAAAUGGAAAUAAAAAUAUUGAUGUGCGUACCUUUGUUUUGUUCCCCCCCUCGUGUGCGUUUUCGCCGCCGAACCUAUCCACCGCUCUCUCGUGCAGCGGCCUUUGUCAAAAUAAAGAUGGAGUACAAAUAAAGAGGAAUUAAA
rnacentral:sRNA from 13 species